AACGAACGUUGGCGGCGUGGAUGAGGCAUGCAAGUCGAACGUGAAAACCUUCGGGUGAGUAGCGUGGCGGACGGGCGAGUAACACGUAACCAAGCUGCCUGUCAGACGAGGAUAACUCCGGGAAACCGGAGCUAAGACCCGAUGGCCUUGCGGGAUCGCAUGUUCCUGCAAGUAAAUGGACGGGACCCUCCGGGGCCGUCUGCUGACAGAGGUGGUUGCGGCCCAUCAGCUAGUUGGUAGGGUAAUGGCCUACCAAGGCUACGACGGGUAGCCGGCCUAAGAGGGUGGUCGGCCGCACUGGGACUGAGACACUGCCCAGACUCCUACGGGAGGCUGCAGUCGAGAAUCUUCCGCAAUGGGCGAAAGCCUGACGGAGCGACGCCGCGUGGGGGACGUAGGCC
rnacentral:rRNA from 1 species